rnacentral:rRNA from 1 species
CCUGGCGGCACUAGCGCGGUGGUCCCACUGACCCCAUGCCGACUCAGAAGUGAAACGCCGUAGCGCCGAUGGUAGUGUGGGGUCUCCCCAUGCGAGAGUAGGGAACUGCCAGGC